AUACGAAGGGCCCGAGCGUAGCGCGGAAUCACUGGGCUUAAAGGGUGCGUAGGCUGGACCGCCAGUGCUUUGUGAAAUCCCACAGCUCAACUGUGGAACUGCUUGGCAUACUGCGGUCCUUGAGCUCGACAGAGGUCGUCGGAACUCUAGGUGUAGCGGUGAAAUGCGUAGAUAUCUAGAGGAACGCCAAAGGUGAAGACAGGCAACUGGGCCGUUCCUGACGCUGAGGUACGAAAGCGUGGGUAGCAAACGGGAUUAGAAACCCCAGUAGUCC
rnacentral:rRNA from 1 species